rnacentral:rRNA from 1 species
CACGUAGGGUGCGAGCGUUGUCCGGAAUUAUUGGGCGUAAAGAGCUCGUAGGCGGUGUGUCGCGUCGGCCGUGAAAACUUGGGGCUUAACUCUGAGUGUGCGGUCGAUACGGGCAUCACUUGAGUUCGGCAGGGGAGACUGGAAUUCCUGGUGUAGCGGUGAAAUGCGCAGAUAUCAGGAGGAACACCGGUGGCGAAGGCGGGUCUCUGGGCCGAUACUGACGCUGAGGAGCGAAAGCAUGGGGAGCGAACAGG